rnacentral:rRNA from 1 species
ACAGCAGUCGCCACGGGAAUACAGAGGGUGCGAGCGUUAAUCGGAUUUACUGGGCGUAAAGCGUGCGUAGGCGGCUUCUUAAGUCGGAUGUGAAAUCCCUUAGCUUAACUUAGGAAUUGCAUUCGAUACUGGGAAGCUAGAGUAUGGGAGAGGAUGGUAGAAUUCCAGGUGUAGCGGUGAAAUGCGUAGAGAUCUGGAGGAAUACCGAUGGCGAAGGCAGCCAUCUGGCCUAAUACUGACGCUGAGGUACGAAAGCAUGGGGAGCAAACAGGAUUAGAUACCCGCGUAGUCCCUGUCUCUUAUAC